rnacentral:lncRNA from 1 species
UAAAAAAAGAAUAAGAACACGUUUGAUACGACUCAUAAAUUUUUUGUGCCAUAGAAUUUCUUCCAAUUUUUUAAUAAUUUUUUAAAAUUUUUCUUUUUUUUCUUUUUCCUCUCUUCUUUCUCCUCCUCUAGCCAAUUGUAGUGGCGACAGCGGUGGCCGGCGACCAGCGAAAGCCAGUGACCAGAGGCGGAGGCAGCUAGCAACCGACAGCAGGCGGCGACAACCAACGCCGAGCGCCUACUCCAGCGACCUGAAAUUUCACAAAAGAUCCUCACCUAAACGACCGGUGACGACCAAUGCCGAGCACCUACCCCAGCGACCCGAAAUUUCACAAAAAAUCCUCACCUAAACUCCGGUAUGAACACCAGAAAUUCCAGAAAUAAAACAAACACAAAGGCACUAAAAAAUGGAGAGAGACGUACUGCAGGCUCGCCGACGUGGGGAGGCUAGCUCCAGCGAAGGAGCGUUUGCAAGGCCAACUUGGGCGGCGAAAAA